rnacentral:rRNA from 1 species
AGAGUUUGAUCCUGGCUCAGAAUCAACGCUGGCGGCGCGCUUAACACAUGCAAGUCGCACGAGAAAGUGGAGCAAUCCAUGAGUAAAGUGGCGUACGGGUGAGUAACACGUGGAUCAUCUACCUCUUGGUGGGGAAUAACCCUGGGAAACCGGGGCUAAUACCGCAUAAGCCUGCAAAGGGAAAGCAGCAAUGCGCCGAGAGAGGAGUCCGCGGCCGAUUAGCUAGUUGGUAGGGUAAUGGCCUACCAAGGCAAUGAUCGGUAGCCGGCCUGAGAGGGCACACGGCCACACUGGCACUGAAACACGGGCCAGACUCCUACGGGAGGCAGCAGUGGGGAAUCUUGCACAAUGGAGGAAACUCUGAUGCAGCGACGCCGCGUGAGCGAUGAAGCCCUUCGGGGUGUAAAGCUCUUUCGACGGGAACGAUAAUGACGGUACCCGGAGAAGAAGCUGCGGCUAACUACGUGCCAGCAGCCGCGGUAAUACGUAGGCAGCAAGCGUUGUUCGGAAUUACUGGGCGUAAAGAGUGUGUAGGCGGUUUUCUAAGUUCGGUGUGAAAUCUCCCGGCUUAACUGGGAGGGUGCGCCGGAAACUGGAGGGCUUGAGUAUGGGAGAGGAAAGCGGAAUUCCUGGUGUAGCGGUGAAAUGCGUAGAUAUCAGGAGGAACACCUGCGGUGUAGACGGCUUUCUGGACCAUCACUGACGCUGAGACACGAAAGCGUGGGUAGCAAACAGGAUUAGAUACCCUGGUAGUCCACGCCCUAAACGAUGCAUACUUGGUGUGAGCCGUUCAUUCGGUUCGUGCCGGAGCUAACGCGUUAAGUAUGCCGCCUGGGGAGUACGGUCGCAAGGCUGAACUCAAAGGAAUUGACGGGGGCCCGCACAAGCGGUGGAGCAUGUGGUUUAAUUCGACGCGACGCGAGAACCUUACCUGGGCUCGAACGGCUUCGG